CCUACGGGAGGCAGCAGUGGGGAAUAUUGGACAAUGGGGGCAACCCUGAUCCAGCCAUGCCGCGUGUGUGAAGAAGGCCCUCGGGUUGUAAAGCACUUUCAGCGAGGAAGAACGCCUGGUGGUUAAUACCCAUCAGGAAAGACAUCACUCACAGAAGAAGCACCGGCUAACUCCGUGCCAGCAGCCGCGGUAAUACGGAGGGUGCGAGCGUUAAUCGGAAUUACUGGGCGUAAAGCGCGCGUAGGUGGCUUGAUAAGCCGGUUGUGAAAGCCCCGGGCUCAACCUGGGAACGGCAUCCGGAACUGUCAAGCUAGAGUGCAGGAGAGGAAGGUAGAAUUCCCGGUGUAGCGGUGAAAUGCGUAGAGAUCGGGAGGAAUACCAGUGGCGAAGGCGGCCUUCUGGACUGACACUGACGCUGAGGUGCGAAAGCGUGGGUAGCAAACAGGAUUAGAUACCCCUGUAGUC
rnacentral:rRNA from 1 species